GACGAACGCUCGGCGUGCUUAACACAUGCAAGUCGAACGGAAAGGCCCUGCUUUUGUGGGGUGCUCGAGUGGCGAACGGGUGAGUAACACGUGAGUAACCUGCCCUUGACUUUGGGAUAACUUCAGGAAACUGGGGCUAAUACCGGAUAGGAGCUCCUGCUGCAUGGUGGGGGUUGGAAAGUUUCGGCGGUUGGGGAUGGACUCGCGGCUUAUCAGCUUGUUGGUGGGGUAGUGGCUUACCAAGGCUUUGACGGGUAGCCGGCCUGAGAGGGUGACCGGCCACAUUGGGACUGAGAUACGGCCCAGACUCCUACGGGAGGCAGCAGUGGGGAAUAUUGCACAAUGGGCGGAAGCCUGAUGCAGCAACGCCGCGUGCGGGAUGACGGCCUUCGGGUUGUAAACCGCUUUCGCCUGUGACGAAGCGUGAGUGACGGUAAUGGGUAAAGAAGCACCGGCUAACUACGUG
rnacentral:rRNA from 1 species